rnacentral:rRNA from 1 species
AGCGUACACGGUGGAUGCCCUGGCAGUCAGAGGCGAUGAAGGACGUGCUAAUCUGCGAUAAGCGUCGGUAAGGUGAUAUGAACCGUUAUAACCGGCGAUUUCCGAAUGGGGAAACCCAGUGUGUUUCGACACACUAUCAUUAACUGAAUCCAUAGGUUAAUGAGGCGAACCGGGGGAACUGAAACAUCUAAGUACCCCGAGGAAAAGAAAUCAACCGAGAUUCCCCCAGUAGCGGCGAGCGAACGGGGAGGAGCCCAGAGCCUGAAUCAGUGUGUGUGUUAGUGGAAGCGUCUGGAAAGGCGCGCGAUACAGGGUGACAGCCCCGUACACAAAAAUGCACAUGCUGUGAGCUCGAUGAGUAGGGCGGGACACGUGGUAUCCUGUCUGAAUAUGGGGGGACCAUCCUCCAAGGCUAAAUACUCCUGACUGACCGAUAGUGAACCAGUACCGUGAGGGAAAGGCGAAAAGAACCCCGGCGAGGGGAGUGAAAAAGAACCUGAAACCGUGUACGUACAAGCAGUGGGAGCACGCUUAGGCGUGUGACUGCGUACCUUUUGUAUAAUGGGUCAGCGACUUAUAUUCUGUAGCAAGGUUAACCGAAUAGGGGAGCCGAAGGGAAACCGAGUCUUAACUGGGCGUUAAGUUGCAGGGUAUAGACCCGAAACCCGGUGAUCUAGCCAUGGGCAGGUUGAAGGUUGGGUAACACUAACUGGAGGACCGAACCGACUAAUGUUGAAAAAUUAGCGGAUGACUUGUGGCUGGGGGUGAAAGGCCAAUCAAACCGGGAGAUAGCUGGUUCUCCCCGAAAGCUAUUUAGGUAGCGCCUCGUGAAUUCAUCUCCGGGGGUAGAGCACUGUUUCGGCAAGGGGGUCAUCCCGACUUACCAACCCGAUGCAAACUGCGAAUACCGGAGAAUGUUAUCACGGGAGACACACGGCGGGUGCUAACGUCCGUCGUGAAGAGGGAAACAACCCAGACCGCCAGCUAAGGUCCCAAAGUCAUGGUUAAGUGGGAAACGAUGUGGGAAGGCCCAGACAGCCAGGAUGUUGGCUUAGAAGCAGCCAUCAUUUAAAGAAAGCGUAAUAGCUCACUGGUCGAGUCGGCCUGCGCGGAAGAUGUAACGGGGCUAAACCAUGCACCGAAGCUGCGGCAGCGACGCUGAUGCGUUGUUGGGUAGGGGAGCGUUCUGUAAGCCUGCGAAGGUGUGCUGUGAGGCAUGCUGGAGGUAUCAGAAGUGCGAAUGCUGACAUAAGUAACGAUAAAGCGGGUGAAAAGCCCGCUCGCCGGAAGACCAAGGGUUCCUGUCCAACGUUAAUCGGGGCAGGGUGAGUCGACCCCUAAGGCGAGGCCGAAAGGCGUAGUCGAUGGGAAACAGGUUAAUAUUCCUGUACUUGGUGUUACUGCGAAGGGGGGACGGAGAAGGCUAUGUUGGCCGGGCGACGGUUGUCCCGGUUUAAGCGUGUAGGCUGGUUUUCCAGGCAAAUCCGGAAAAUCAAGGCUGAGGCGUGAUGACGAGGCACUACGGUGCUGAAGCAACAAAUGCCCUGCUUCCAGGAAAAGCCUCUAAGCAUCAGGUAACAUCAAAUCGUACCCCAAACCGACACAGGUGGUCAGGUAGAGAAUACCAAGGCGCUUGAGAGAACUCGGGUGAAGGAACUAGGCAAAAUGGUGCCGUAACUUCGGGAGAAGGCACGCUGAUAUGUAGGUGAAGUCCCUCGCGGAUGGAGCUGAAAUCAGUCGAAGAUACCAGCUGGCUGCAACUGUUUAUUAAAAACACAGCACUGUGCAAACACGAAAGUGGACGUAUACGGUGUGACGCCUGCCCGGUGCCGGAAGGUUAAUUGAUGGGGUCAGCGCAAGCGAAGCUCUUGAUCGAAGCCCCGGUAAACGGCGGCCGUAACUAUAACGGUCCUAAGGUAGCGAAAUUCCUUGUCGGGUAAGUUCCGACCUGCACGAAUGGCGUAAUGAUGGCCAGGCUGUCUCCACCCGAGACUCAGUGAAAUUGAACUCGCUGUGAAGAUGCAGUGUACCCGCGGCAAGACGGAAAGACCCCGUGAACCUUUACUAUAGCUUGACACUGAACAUUGAGCCUUGAUGUGUAGGAUAGGUGGGAGGCUUUGAAGUGUGGACGCCAGUCUGCAUGGAGCCGACCUUGAAAUACCACCCUUUAAUGUUUGAUGUUCUAACGUUGACCCGUGAUCCGGGUUGCGGACAGUGUCUGGUGGGUAGUUUGACUGGGGCGGUCUCCUCCUAAAGAGUAACGGAGGAGCACGAAGGUUGGCUAAUCCUGGUCGGACAUCAGGAGGUUAGUGCAAUGGCAUAAGCCAGCUUGACUGCGAGCGUGACGGCGCGAGCAGGUGCGAAAGCAGGUCAUAGUGAUCCGGUGGUUCUGAAUGGAAGGGCCAUCGCUCAACGGAUAAAAGGUACUCCGGGGAUAACAGGCUGAUACCGCCCAAGAGUUCAUAUCGACGGCGGUGUUUGGCACCUCGAUGUCGGCUCAUCUCAUCCUGGGGCUGUAGCCGGUCCCAAGGGUAUGGCUGUUCGCCAUUUAAAGAGGUACGUGAGCUGGGUUUAAAACGUCGUGAGACAGUUUGGUCCCUAUCUACCGCGGGCGCUGGAAGAUUGACAGGGGCUGCUCCUAGUACGAGAGGACCGGAGUGGACGCACCUCUGGUGUAUCGGUUGUGACGCCAGUCGCAUUGCCGAGUAGCUAUGUGCGGAAGAGAUAACCGCUGAAAGCAUCUAAGCGGGAAACUUGCCUGAAGAUUAGUCUUCCCGGAGGCUUGACCUCCCUGAAGGGUCGUCCGAGACCAGGACGUUGAUAGGCCAGGUGUGGAAGCGCUGUGAGGCGUGAAGCUAACUGGUACUAAUUGCCCGUGCGGCUUGAUC